rnacentral:rRNA from 1 species
CACAUUCCCUCUACGUUUUUUUCUAAGGAGGGGCGCAACCAUGCAGCCGAGCGGUAGAGAUCUUUCGGGAUCUUGAGAGCGGCGUACGGGUGCGGAACACGUGUGCAACCUGCCUUUAUCUGGGGGAUAGCCUUUCGAAAGGAAGAUUAAUACCCCAUAAUAUACUGAAUGGCAUCAUUCGGUAUUGAAAACUCCGGUGGAUAGAGAUGGGCACGCGCAAGAUUAGAUAGUUGGUGAGGUAACGGCUCACCAAGUCUGCGAUCUUUAGGGGGCCUGAGAGGGUGAUCCCCCACACUGGUACUGAGACACGGACCAGACUCCUACGGGAGGCAGCAGUGAGGAAUAUUGGACAAUGGGUGAGAGCCUGAUCCAGCCAUCCCGCGUGAAGGACGACGGCCCUAUGGGUUGUAAACUUCUUUUGUAUAGGGAUAAACCUACCCUCGUGAGGGUAGCUGAAGGUACUAUACGAAUAAGCACCGGCUAACUCCGUGCCAGCAGCCGCGGUAAUACGGAGGGUGCAAGCGUUAUCCGGAUUUAUUGGGUUUAAAGGGUCCGUAGGCGGAUCUGUAAGUCAGUGGUGAAAUCUCACAGCUUAACUGUGAAACUGCCAUUGAUACUGCAGGUCUUGAGUGUUGUUGAAGUAGCUGGAAUAAGUAGUGUAGCGGUGAAAUGCAUAGAUAUUACUUAGAACACCAAUUGCGAAGGCAGGUUACUAAGCAACAACUGACGCUGAUGGACGAAAGCGUGGGGAGCGAACAGGAUUAGAUACCCUGGUAGUCCACGCCGUAAACGAUGCUAACUCGUUUUUGGAAUGUAAGUUUCAGAGACUAAGCGAAAGUGAUAAGUUAGCCACCUGGGGAGUACGAACGCAAGUUUGAAACUCAAAGAAAUUAGAGGGGAAAAAAA